AUUAAAUACUUUCGUCGUCGUCACCAUCGUCAAUCGACAUCACCAACUCCACCAGGGACACCUGAGAUUGUUUCGAACAAGCUUGAAAUGAUUGAUGAUGAUAGUGAAGAAGACAUAGAGAGAGAAGAGAAGGUUCAUUUACAAGAAAAAAAGGUUGAUAAGCAAGAAAAGAAGAUUCACGAGAAUAUAAAGCCAAUAGAAGAAACAAAUAGCCCAAGUAGCAGUGGUAAUGGAGUGCAUUGGGAUGAAAGUCUCAAGGGUAAACAUGUUUAACAAUAUUCAUG